rnacentral:tRNA from 1 species
UAUCGUAUGGUCUAGUGGUUAGGACAGCCGGCCGUGAGCCGGAGGACCCAGGUUCGAUUCCUGGUGCGGUGG